AGUGCCCAAGAGACAGAUUAACUGGAAUGCAACCAAGCCCGUAAGCUUCUGAAUCGCUAAAUUAAGAUCAUCAACUUUUAUCAGAACGCAGAAGCAAACAGUUAAUGGGAUCUUUUGUCUGCAGAAGGAGGAAGAGUCUGAGAUGCAAAGUUAUGCCCAGACAGAACUAUUGGCCAAGUUGUAGGUCCUUCUGGUUGUGCUAUGUGGGAUGCCGCCUCAGCAUGGCUUGAUGAGUGGUGCCAUGUCUACGCCCAGGAUCCGAAUUGGCAAAACCCUGGGCCUCCAAUGUGGAGCGCAUGAACUUAACCACUUGGCCACAGGGCCAGCCCUGAAGGACUUUAUAACUUUGUAUUAACACAUGAUUCGGGGGUUUAUUUUUCUAUAUGGGAUAAUUGGUGAAAUUUGAAUAAGGUCUUCAGAUGAACUCAUAUUAUAUCAAUGGUAACUUCCUUUUUUGAAAAUUACACUGUGGUUAUGAUUGUCCUUUACUCCUAAAUAUUUCAGUAUUUAUAUGUAUUAUAUGAAUGCAAGAAGACUGCAUGCCAAU
rnacentral:lncRNA from 1 species